GUAGGGGGCAAGCGUUGUCCGGAAUUAUUGGGCGUAAAGAGCGUGUAGGCGGCCAGGUAGGUCUGCUGUGAAAACUCGAGGCUCAACCUCGAGCUGUCGGUGGAAACCAUCUGGCUAGAGUCCGGAAGAGGAGAAUGGAAUUCCUGGUGUAGCGGUGAAAUGCGCAGAUAUCAGGAAGAACACCCGUGGCGAAGGCGGUUCUCUGGGACGGUACUGACGCUGAGACGCGAAAGCGUGGGGAGCAAACAGGAUUAGAUACCCUGGUAGUCCACGCCGUAAACGAUGGGUGCUAGGUGUGGGCGGUGUCAACUCCGUCCGUGCCGAAGCUAACGCAUUAAGCACCCCGCCUGGGGAGUACGGCCGCAAGGCUA
rnacentral:rRNA from 1 species